rnacentral:rRNA from 1 species
AUUGAACGCUGGCGGCAUGCCUUACACAUGCAAGUCGAACGGUAACAGGUCUUCGGAUGCUGACGAGUGGCGAACGGGUGAGUAAUACAUCGGAACGUGCCUAGUAGUGGGGGAUAACUACUCGAAAGAGUGGCUAAUACCGCAUGAGAUCUACGGAUGAAAGCAGGGGAUCGCAAGACCUUGUGCUACUAGAGCGGCCGAUGGCAGAUUAGGUAGGUGGUGGGAUAAAAGCUUACCAAGCCGACGACCUGGAGCGGGUCUGAGAGGACGAUCAGCCACACUGGGACUGAGAGACGGCCCAGACUCCUACGGGAGGCAGCAGUGGGGAAUUUUUGACAAUGGGCGAAAGCCUGAUCCAGCAAUGCCGCGUGCAGGAUGAAGGCCUUCGGGUUGUAAACUGCUUUUGUACGGAACGAAAAGCCCCGGGUUAAUACCCUGGGGUCAUGACGGUACCGUAAGAAUAAGCACCGGCUAACUACGUGCCAGCCGCCGCAGUAA